UACCAGCCCCUGCUUCACCAACUACCAGCCCCUGCUUCACAAACUACCAGCCCCAGCUACAUCACUGCUCCUCCCCAGCCAACACCAUUCUUCGGUUCUCCCGAUGUGCAGCAUGCAGCAGUAAUGCGUCUCCCUAUGGUCCACCCCAUACUCCUGGCCUGAUGCUCCACAACAAAGUGUUCCUCCUUCUCACGUUUUCAGCACUCCUGGCCUAAAGCAUGCACAAGAAGGUUGUGAAGUGGCAUCACUGCUUCUUGACCACACAACACCAAGUGAAGGAUUGGUCGCUGGCUGUUCAGGACCCAUUGCGGCUGGCCAUUCAGGAAGACUCCUCACCUUCAAAAGCUGUGGAUUGCCAUAAUUCAA